rnacentral:rRNA from 1 species
UACGUAGGGGGCGAGCGUUGUCCGAAGUUACUGGGCGUAAAGCGCGCGUAGGCGGGGAAUUAAGUGAGAAGUGAAAGGCUGGGGCUCAACCUCAUGCAGUGCUUCUCAUACUGGUUCUCUUGAGGGCGGUAGGGAGAAGUGGAAUGGCUGGUGUAGCGGUGAAAUGCGCAGAUAUCAGGAGGAACACCUAUUGCGAAGGCAGCUCGCUGGGACGUAACUGACGCUGAGACGCGAAAGCGUGGGGAGCAAACAGG